UUGACCUCAACUGCAGGUAGGAACUA
rnacentral:rRNA from 1 species